UACAGAGACUGCAAGCGUUAUUCGGAUUCACUGGGCGUAAAGGGUGCGCAGGCGGCCAAGUGUGUGAGGCGUGAAAGCCCGGGGCUUAACCCCGGAAUUGCACCUCAAACUACAUGGCUAGAGCAUUGGAGAGGGUAGCAGAAUUCAUGGUGUAGCAGUGAAAUGCGUAGAGAUCAUGAGGAAGACCAGUGGCGAAGGCGGGUCUCUGGACAGUUCCUGACACUGAGGCACGAAGGCCAGGGGAGCAAACGGG
rnacentral:rRNA from 1 species